CCCGCACAAGCGGUGGAGUAUGUGGUUUAAUUCGACGCAACGCGCAGAACCUUACCUAGGCUUGACAUCCCGGGAAUUUGCUGGAAACAGUGAAGUGCUUUCAUUAGAAAGAGCCCGGUGACAGGUGCUGCAUGGCUGUCGUCAGCUCGUGUCGUGAGAUGUUGGGUUAAGUCCCGCAACGAGCGCAACCCUCGCCUUUAGUUGCCAGCAUUCAGUUGGGCACUCUAAAGGGACUGCCGGUGUCAAACCGGAGGAAGGUGGGAUGACGUCAAGUCCUCAUGGCCUUUAUGUCUAGGGCUACACACGUACUACAAUGGCAGGUACAAAGGGCAGCGACACAGCGAUGUGAUGCGAAUCCCGAAAAGCCUGUCUCAGUCCGGAUCGGAGUCUGCAACUCGACUCCGUGAAGUUGGAAUCGCUAGUAAUCGUGGAUCAGCAUGCCACGGUGAAUACGUUCCCGGGCCUU
rnacentral:rRNA from 1 species